GAGCGCGCCAAGCUAGCGCGGGCGCCCCUCCCCUGUCACGCCUCGGCCUCCCCGCCGGCCCUGCGGCAGGGGGAUGCUCGCCUGACCCCACCUCCGGCUCCUCCUCAGGCACCAGGCCGGGCGGUGGCCGCCUCCAGCUCACCACCUCCGAGGCCGCACUUCCGGGCAGCGACGCCGGCGGAACUGAAGUCCGCAGAUGCCGCGACGCGGCGAACCACUCGGUCAGAGCACGUUUCCGGCGUUUCCAUGGAGACUAGUCGCCGCCGCCAGGUCGCACUUCCGGCCAAAGUCGCAGGGGGCCGGGGCAACCACGCAGUUUCGCCCUAGCGACGGGGCGGGGGCGGGGCCUGCGCUGUCAAUCUGUAGGCCACGCUCCUCGCAUGUGCUGUCGGGCGGGAGAAGGUUUAAAAAGUAAUAGAAGGGGCUUCCCUGGUGGCUCAGUGGUAAAGAAUCCGCCUGCCAAUGCAGAAGACACUGGUUUGAUCCCUGGUCCUGGAUGAUCCCACAUCCUAUGGAGCAACUUAGCCUGUGUGCCACAACUAUUGAGACUGUGCUCUGGAAUAAAAGUCACAGCACUGAAAAGCCGAGUGUCACAACGGGAGAGUAGUCCCUGCUUGCAGCAACUAAAAAACUCCCUACACAGCAAUGAAGACUCAGUACAGCCAAAAAUAAAUAGGUAAGUUUAGCGACCCCAUAGACUGCAGCCCACCAGGCUCCUCCAUCCAUGGGAUUUUCCAGGCAAGAGUACCGGAGUGGGGUGCCAUUGCCCUCUCCGUUUUAAAAAGUAAUAGACCUCAAAUCUCAUCUUGUAGCCUACAGAACUGGUAUCAUCUUCAAGCAGUUGUCCUUUUACUCACUGACUGAGUGCCCUCUGUGUAGCAGGCCCCAGGUGAGAUGCAGCAGACAGGGCAGUGAUGUAAACAGUUUGGACCU
rnacentral:lncRNA from 1 species